GAUGAACGCUGGCGGCGUGCCUAAUACAUGCAAGUCGAGCGAACGGACGAGAAGCUUGCUUCUCUGAUGUUAGCGGCGGACGGGUGAGUAACACGUGGAUAACCUACCUAUAAGACUGGGAUAACUUCGGGAAACCGGAGCUACUACCGGAUAAUAUUUUGAACCGCAUGGUUCAAAAGUGAAAGACGGUCUUGCUGUCACUUAUAGAUGGAUCCGCGCUGCAUUAGCUAGUUGGUAAGGUAACGGCUUACCAAGGCAACGAUGCAUAGCCGACCUGAGAGGGUGAUCGGCCACACUGGAACUGAGACGCGGUCCAGACUCCUACGGGAGGCAGCAGUAGGGAAUCUUCCGCAAUGGGCGAAAGCCUGACGGAGCAACGCCGCGUGAGUGAUGAAGGUCUUCGGAUCGUAAAACUCUGUUAUUAGGGAAGAACAUAUGUGUAAGUAACUGUGCACAUCUUGACGGUACCUAAUCAGAAAGCCACGGCUAACUACGUG
rnacentral:rRNA from 1 species